GGAAUAUAAGAACACAUCUCUUAACUUUUAACUAAAAAAGCUAAGAACCGACUCUUAAAUAAGAGUUUUAAUAACCGGUUCUUAACUUUUUUUAGUUCAAAGUUAAGAGACGGGUUCUUAUAUUCC
rfam:Brassica napus, WGS project CCCW01000000 data, contig: 11232